rnacentral:rRNA from 1 species
GGGCCCGCACAAGCGGUGGAGUAUGUGGUUUAAUUCGAUGCAACGCGAAGAACCUUACCAGGGUUUGACAUCCUGCGAAUCUCUUGGAAACAGGAGAGUGCCUUCGGGAACGCAGUGACAGGUGGUGCAUGGCUGUCGUCAGCUCGUGUCGUGAGAUGUUGGGUUAAGUCCCGCAACGAGCGCAACCCACGUCUUUAGUUGCCAGCAUUUAGUUGGGCACUCUAGAGAGACCGCCGGUGAUAAACCGGAGGAAGGUGUGGAUGACGUCAAGUCAUCAUGCCCCUUACAUCCUGGGCUACACACGUACUACAAUGCUACGGACAAAGAGCAGCAAGUUCGCGAGGACAAGCAAAUCUCAUAAACCGUGGCUCAGUUCAGAUCGUAGGCUGCAACUCGCCUACGUGAAGGAGGAAUCGCUAGUAAUCGC